UGCCUGGAGCUCAGUGGUGGAGCAUCUCCAUGUUGUGCAGAUGUCUGUCUCAGGUUCAGUCCCUGACCACUCCAGGAAA